rnacentral:rRNA from 1 species
GACGUAGGUCCCGAGCGUUGCCCGGAUUUACUGGGCGUAAAGUGCGCGUAGGCGGUUCGGCAAGUCGCCUGUGAAAGUCCGGGGCUCAACCCCGGGGUGCCGGGCGAAACUGCCGGGCUAGAGGACGGCAGAGGAGGGUGGAGCGGCCGGAGUAGCGGUGAAAUGCGUAGAUACCGGCCGAAAUCCCGAUGGCGAAGGCAACCCUCUGGGCCGUUCCUGACGCUGAGGCGCGAAAGCUAGGGGAGCGAACGGG